AUUGAACGCUGGCGGCAGGCCUAACACAUGCAAGUCGAGCGGAUGAAGGGAGCUUGCUCCUGGAUUCAGCGGCGGACGGGUGAGUAAUGCCUAGGAAUCUGCCUGGUAGUGGGGGAUAACGUCCUGAAACGGGCGCUAAUACCGCAUACGUCCUGAGGGAGAAAGUGGGGGAUCUUCGGACCUCACGCUAUCAGAUGAGCCUAGGUCGGAUUAGCUAGUUGGUGGGGUAAAGGCCUACCAAGGCGACGAUCCGUAACUGGUCUGAGAGGAUGAUCAGUCACACUGGAACUGAGAUACGGUCCAGACUCCUACGGGAGGCAGCAGUGGGGAAUAUUGGACAAUGGGCGAAAGCCUGAUCCAGCCAUGCCGCGUGUGUGAAGAAGGUCUUCGGAUUGUAAAGCACUUUAAGUUGGGAGGAAGGGCAGUAAGUUAAUACCUUGCUGUUUUGACGUUACCAACAGAAUAAGCACCGGCUAACUUCGUG
rnacentral:rRNA from 1 species